rnacentral:rRNA from 1 species
AACGAACGCUGGCGGUAUGCUUAACACAUGCAAGUCGAACGAGUAUGGCCUAGCUUGCUAGGACCCAGCUAGUGGCAAACGGGUGAGUAACACGUGGGAAUCUACCUAGUAGUACGGAACAACCAUUGGAAACGAUGGCUAAUACCGUAUACACCCUCCGGGGGAAAGAUUUAUCGCUAUUAGAUGAGCCCGCGUUAGAUUAGCUUGUUGGUGGGGUAAAAGCCUACCAAGGCUACGAUCUAUAGCUGGUCUGAGAGGAUGAUCAGCCACACUGGAACUGAGACACGGUCCAGACUCCUACGGGAGGCAGCAGUGGGGAAUAUUGGACAAUGGGCGCAAGCCUGAUCCAGCAAUACCGCGUGAGUGAUGACGGCCUUAGGGUUGUAAAGCUCUUUCAGUAGGGAAGAUAAUGACGGUACCUACAGAAGAAGCACCGGCUAACUCCGUGCCAGCCGCCGCCGUAACAC